rnacentral:sRNA from 1 species
GGUCUUUGACAUAUUUGAUAAGCAACGAUGGAAUAACAAAUAAAUAGUGAUUAACCCAUCGCUGGUAGAGCCUGAGCAAAAAGAGCCAGGUGCAUAGGCAAGGCGUCAGCUUGACGGGCUUGUCCACUGCGGGGAGCGAAACCUCCUGCCAGCAC